rnacentral:rRNA from 1 species
GUACACAAAAAUGCACAUGCUGUGAGCUCGAUGAGUAGGGCGGGACACGUGGUAUCCUGUCUGAAUAUGGGGGGACCAUCCUCCAAGGCUAAAUACUCCUGACUGACCGAUAGUGAACCAGUACCGUGAGGGAAAGGCGAAAAGAACCCCGGCGAGGGGAGUGAAAAAGAACCUGAAACCGUGUACGUACAAGCAGUGGGAGCACGCUUAGGCGUGUGACUGCGUACCUUUUGUAUAAUGGGUCAGCGACUUAUAUUCUGUAGCAAGGUUAACCGAAUAGGGGAGCCGAAGGGAAACCGAGUCUUAACUGGGCGUUAAGUUGCAGGGUAUAGACCCGAAACCCGGUGAUCUAGCCAUGGGCAGGUUGAAGGUUGGGUAACACUAACUGGAGGACCGAACCGACUAAUGUUGAAAAAUUAGCGGAUGACUUGUGGCUGGGGGUGAAAGGCCAAUCAAACCGGGAGAUAGCUGGUUCUCCCCGAAAGCUAUUUAGGUAGCGCCUCGUGAAUUCAUCUCCGGGGGUAGAGCACUGUUUCGGCAAGGGGGUCAUCCCGACUUACCAACCCGAUGCAAACUGCGAAUACCGGAGAAUGUUAUCACGGGAGACACACGGCGGGUGCUAACGUCCGUCGUGAAGAGGGAAACAACCCAGACCGCCAGCUAAGGUCCCAAAGUCAUGGUUAAGUGGGAAACGAUGUGGGAAGGCCCAGACAGCCAGGAUGUUGGCUUAGAAGCAGCCAUCAUUUAAAGAAAGCGUAAUAGCUCACUGGUCGAGUCGGCCUGCGCGGAAGAUGUAACGGGGCUAAACCAUGCACCGAAGCUGCGGCAGCGACGCUGAUGCGUUGUUGGGUAGGGGAGCGUUCUGUAAGCCUGCGAAGGUGUGCUGUGAGGCAUGCUGGAGGUAUCAGAAGUGCGAAUGCUGACAUAAGUAACGAUAAAGCGGGUGAAAAGCCCGCUCGCCGGAAGACCAAGGGUUCCUGUCCAACGUUAAUCGGGGCAGGGUGAGUCGACCCCUAAGGCGAGGCCGAAAGGCGUAGUCGAUGGGAAACAGGUUAAUAUUCCUGUACUUGGUGUUACUGCGAAGGGGGGACGGAGAAGGCUAUGUUGGCCGGGCGACGGUUGUCCCGGUUUAAGCGUGUAGGCUGGUUUUCCAGGCAAAUCCGGAAAAUCAAGGCUGAGGCGUGAUGACGAGGCACUACGGUGCUGAAGCAACAAAUGCCCUGCUUCCAGGAAAAGCCUCUAAGCAUCAGGUAACAUCAAAUCGUACCCCAAACCGACACAGGUGGUCAGGUAGAGAAUACCAAGGCGCUUGAGAGAACUCGGGUGAAGGAACUAGGCAAAAUGGUGCCGUAACUUCGGGAGAAGGCACGCUGAUAUGUAGGUGAAGUCCCUCGCGGAUGGAGCUGAAAUCAGUCGAAGAUACCAGCUGGCUGCAACUGUUUAUUAAAAACACAGCACUGUGCAAACACGAAAGUGGACGUAUACGGUGUGACGCCUGCCCGGUGCCGGAAGGUUAAUUGAUGGGGUCAGCGCAAGCGAAGCUCUUGAUCGAAGCCCCGGUAAACGGCGGCCGUAACUAUAACGGUCCUAAGGUAGCGAAAUUCCUUGUCGGGUAAGUUCCGACCUGCACGAAUGGCGUAAUGAUGGCCAGGCUGUCUCCACCCGAGACUCAGUGAAAUUGAACUCGCUGUGAAGAUGCAGUGUACCCGCGGCAAGACGGAAAGACCCCGUGAACCUUUACUAUAGCUUGACACUGAACAUUGAGCCUUGAUGUGUAGGAUAGGUGGGAGGCUUUGAAGUGUGGACGCCAGUCUGCAUGGAGCCGACCUUGAAAUACCACCCUU